UAAGUAUAAUAAGCCAAAAGAAUAUAAAGCGGAAAAUCAAUUUUAAAGCAUUGCCGCACAGUGACAAGGAUAAUGAGCAGUCAGCUACCGACAAAUUGUUUGUGCAUGUGUGUGUACGUGAGCUUGUGUGUUUGUGUAUGUGUGUGUGUGUGUGUGCGUGCGAAGAAAGCGCAAUGUCAUAGACCUAGACACAAUGCCAGGACAAUGACAGGCAGUAUGGCAAUCAAAAGACCGCAAUUUGUUGCCAAACUGCGAGCCUUGACAAAUGGCAAUUCGGCUAAACCUCAAACAAUUUGAUAUUUGGGUAGGCUCUAAAGUUGGAAACUCAAUAAAACUUUGACGACUGGAGCCAA